GGUAAAUUGCGGAAGCGCCUUCCGUGGCUGGCAGGGACGCUGAAACUGCUAUGUUUACAGCUGCAGGGUUAAAAUUAGGGGGACCUGCCACCCAGACCUCUUCAUUGAGUUGAAGUGGUCUUGGUGCCAAUAGUGGUCCUUUAACGUUAUCAAGUAUACAUUUAGUAGGGUUAAAAGUAAGAACCAAUUUAUAUUUUGGAUAGUUAAAGUUGGUUGCAGGGAUUUAAAAAAGUUAUCAGAUAGGAAAGAAUUACUAAGUUUCUCCUUGUGGUUACAGAUUUUAAA